rnacentral:rRNA from 1 species
UUACUCCAACCCUUUGUGACCUUACCUAUGUUCUGUUGCCUCGGCGGGGAGGAAGGCCCCUUAAAAAGGGCCCAGCCCCCGCCGGCAGCACCAAACUCUUGCAUUUAUAGCGGAUUAUAUUUCUGAAUACAAUACAAAACAAAUCAAAACUUUCAACAACGGAUCUCUUGGUUCUGGCAUCGAUGAAGAACGCAGCGAAAUGCGAUAAGUAAUGUGAAUUGCAGAAUUCAGUGAAUCAUCGAAUCUUUGAACGCACAUUGCGCCCGGCAGUAAUCUGCCGGGCAUGCCUGUCCGAGCGUCAUUUCAACCCUCGAGCCUAGGUUUUUACAAGCCCAAGGAUCGGUGUUGGGGCGCUACGGUUGUCAUCUGACCGCCGUAGGCUCUGAAAUACAGUGGCGGUCCCGCCGCGGCGCCUUCUGCGUAGUAGAUUUACAACUCGCAUUGGGUCCCGGCGAAGGCCAGCCGUCAAACCCUCUAUUCUUAUGGUUUGACCUCGGAUCAGGUAGGGUUACCCGCUGAACUUAAGCAUAUCAAUAAGCGGAGGAAAAGAAA